rnacentral:rRNA from 1 species
UACAGAGGUCUCAAGCGUUUGUUCGGAUUCAUUGGGCGUAAAGGGUGUGUAGGUGGCGCCGUAAGUCGGGUGUGAAAUUUCGGAGCUUAACUCCGAAACUGCAUUCGAUACUGCGGUGCUUGAGGACUGGAGAGGAGACUGGAAUUCAUGGUGUAGCAGUGAAAUGCGUAGAGAUCAUGAGGAAGACCAGUGGCGAAGGCGGGUCUCUGGACAGUUCCUGACACUGAGGCGCGACAGCGUGGGGAGCAAACAGG